GAUGAACGCUGGCGGCGUGCCUAAUACAUGCAAGUCGAGCGAACAGACGAGGAGCUUGCUCCUCUGACGUUAGCGGCGGACGGGUGAGUAACACGUGGAUAACCUACCUAUAAGACUGGGAUAACUUCGGGAAACCGGAGCUAAUACCGGAUAAUAUAUUGAACCGCAUGGUUCAAUAGUGAAAGACGGUUUUGCUGUCACUUAUAGAUGGAUCCGCGCCGCAUUAGCUAGUUGGUAAGGUAACGGCUUACCAAGGCAACGAUGCGUAGCCGACCUGAGAGGGUGAUCGGCCACACUGGAACUGAGACACGGUCCAGACUCCUACGGGAGGCAGCAGUAGGGAAUCUUCCGCAAUGGGCGAAAGCCUGACGGAGCAACGCCGCGUGAGUGAUGAGGGUCUUCGGAUCGUAAAACUCUGUUAUUAGGGAAGAACAAAUGUGUAAGUAACUAUGCACGUCUUGACGGUACCUAAUCAGAAAGCCACGGCUAACCACGUG
rnacentral:rRNA from 1 species